AAGCGCGCGUAGGCGGUUUGAUAAGCUAGCUGUGAAAGACCCUGGGCUCAACCUGGGAACUGCAGUUAGAACUGUCUGACUAGAGUACAGUAGAGGGUGGCGGAAUUUCCUGUGUAGCGGUGAAAUGCGUAGAUAUAGGAAGGAACAUCAGUGGCGAAGGCGGCCACCUGGACUGAUACUGACGCUGAGGUGCGAAAGCGUGGGGAGCAAACAGGAUUAGAUACCCCUGU
rnacentral:rRNA from 1 species